GGAGAGGUGGCCGAGUGGCUGAAGGCGCACGCUUGGAAAGCGUGUGUACGUGAAAGCGUACCGAGGGUUCGAAUCCCUUCCUCUCCG
rnacentral:tRNA from 1 species